AUCAGACUUGCCGCACCGUUCGGAAGCUGAGGGGGCCGGUACGGCGGCGUCAAGAUGGCGGCGGCUGUGGCGGCGGCAGCUGCCGCUGCGGCCGCGGCUGCAUCUUUUCAAGUGCUGGAGAUGGAGAGCAUGGAGACUGCCGUCGCCGGUUCCGCGAGCCUGGCCGCUGAGGUCCGAGGCAGUGGCACGGUAGACUUCGUGACCGGGGCCGGCAUCUCUACCCUCGUCGACACGGGCGGGAGCGAUCCGGGCCCAGAGGCCGAGGACUUCGAGUGCAGCACUCACUGCUCCGAGUUGUCCUGGCGGCAGAACGAGCAGCGGCGUCAAGGCCUGUUCUGCGACAUCACCCUGUGCUUCGGCGGGGCCGGAGGUCGCGAGUUCCGUGCCCACCGCUCGGUGCUGGCCGCUGCCACCGAGUACUUCACGCCCUUACUCUCGGGUCAGUUUUCGGAAUCGCGCUCGGGCCGGGUGGAGAUGCGCAAGUGGAGCUCAGAGCCCGGACCCGAACCUGACACGGUGGAAGCCGUUAUCGAGUACAUGUACACCGGCCGCAUCCGAGUGAGCACCGGCAGCGUGCACGAGGUGCUGGAGCUGGCCGACAGAUUCUUAUUAAUUCGUUUAAAAGAAUUCUGUGGAGAAUUUCUCAAGAAAAAACUUCAUCUCUCGAAUUGUGUGGCCAUUCAUAGCUUAGCCCACAUGUAUACCCUGAGCCAGCUUGCUCUGAAAGCUGCAGAUAUGAUACGGAGAAAUUUCUAUAAAGUCAUUCAGGAUGAGGAAUUUUACACUUUACCUUUCCAUCUCAUUCGGGACUGGCUUUCGGACUUGGAAAUCACUGUGGAUUCUGAAGAGGUUCUUUUUGAAACAGUUUUGAAGUGGGUUCAGAGAAAUGCAGAAGAGAGAGAGAGAUACUUUGAAGAGCUUUUUAAAUUGCUCAGAUUGUCCCAGAUGAAACCCACCUACCUUACACGGCAUGUCAAACCAGAGCGGCUAGUGGCCAAUAAUGAAGUUUGUGUCAAGCUGGUGGCAGAAGCAGUGGAGAGGCAUGCGCUCAGAGCAGAGAAUAUACAGUCUGGCACAUUGCAGCAGCCCACUUCACAAGUCUCACUGUUACCUCGCUAUGGACAAAACAUGGACGUAAUCAUGGUUAUCGGAGGAGUGUCGGAAGGAGGAGACUACUUAAGUGAAUGUGUGGGAUAUUUUGUUGAUGAGGAUAGGUGGGUCAAUCUGCCCCACAUUCAUAACCACCUUGAUGGACAUGCCGUCGCAAUUACAGAGUCCUACGUGUAUGUUGCUGGCUCCAUGGAACCAGGGUUUGCUAAAACUGUGGAAAGAUACAACCCAAACCUGAAUACAUGGGAACAUGUUUGUAGUCUGAUGACCAGAAAGCACUCUUUUGGGCUAACAGAAGUCAAAGGGAAGCUGUAUAGCAUUGGAGGACACGGCAAUUUUAGCCCUGGCUUUAAAGACGUGACUGUUUACAAUCCCGAGCUUGAUAAAUGGCACAACUUAGAGUCAGCACCAAAGAUUCUGCGAGAUGUCAAAGCAUUAGCCAUUGAGGACCGGUUUGUGUACAUUGCUGCCCGCACGCCCGUGGACCGGGACACUGAGGAUGGACUGAAGGCUGUAAUUACUUGCUAUGAUACAGAGACUCGACAGUGGCAAGAUGUGGAAUCUUUACCGCUUAUUGACAAUUACUGUUUUUUCCAGAUGUCUGUGGUCAAUUCAAACUUUUAUCAGACAGCAUCAUGCUGUCCCAAGAGUUACUCCUUAGAAAAUGAAGAAGCAGUAAGAAAAAUUGCCGGUCAGGUGUCUGAUGAGAUCCUUGAAAGCUUGCCUCCAGAAGUCCUAAGCAUCGAAGGAGCAGCCAUUUGCUAUUACAGAGAUGAUGUCUUCAUUAUUGGAGGCUGGAAAAACAGUGAUGAUAUUGACAAACAGUACAGGAAAGAGGCCUACCGAUACUGUGCUGAGAGAAAGAGGUGGAUGCUCCUUCCUCCAAUGCCUCAGCCCCGCUGCAGGGCCACUGCUUGCCAUGUCAGGAUCCCUUACCGGUACUUACAUGGCACACAGAGAUACCCCAUGCCUCAAAAUUUAAUGUGGCAGAAGGACCGCAUCCGACAGAUGCAAGAGAUACAUCGGCACGCCCUGAACAUGCGGAGAGUGCCAAGUUCCCAGAUUGAAUGCUGAGCUCACCAGCGUUUGCAGCUGAAAACUGUUCUCCCUGUUCUGUGAGGCGGGGAUGCCUGGACUGUUACUUGGAAAAGCAGCCUAGGCCCUGGCUGAAUGAAGGGGUAAGUCCUUCCUUGCAUGAUGGUGUGCAGGUUUCCUGACUACCAACUUUCUAAUUUUCAUAUGUGAAUUCACGUGUGUGGCUUCACCACCAUAACUUGCCUCCUAAAUACUUUUAACUUGUUAGGAAGGAAAGAACCUAGACUUGCUUAAAUCUGUUCAAGGCUGACAUUCUGAAAUUUUAAACGGACAUAACAGCAUUUGUAAUAAUAAUCGUGCAGGUCUAAUGUGGCUCUUUGGGAAAGAAAUUUCUUUUAUGAAAACAGUUUUUUUUAAAGCCAGCUUUUUAAAAGCUUAUUCAAGUGAACCUUUGUUGUGUAGCUUUUGUUUUCUUAGCUGGAAAAAGAUUUGAUUACACCAAAAAGUAAGGGUGGUCCAUUAUUGUGAGUAAGGCUAACUUUCCACAUUAUAAUGGGACCCUUCCUAUCUUCCUUUCAAACUGAGAAUGUCAGUCAUGAACUUUUAAGCGGUCAUCACUUGCAGCUGUUUGCAUGAUUAGUCUUGUGUAUCCUGAGAGCUUUGCUUUUCUGUGCCAGUUCAAAAUAACAUUUUUGCUAAGAACAUUUAAAAUUAACUGAUAUCAGUUUUGUUUUGAUUUACCUGGUUGUGUGUAGUAUUUCCAGGACCAAAAAUUUAAAACUCUCAGUCUAAAAAGCCAGAGAGAGCAUUUCUGUGCUUUAAUCCUGUCACAACUAGUAGACAGGUUCUUGUGCACACCUUCCCCUCUCUGACUGCAGCAUGUGUGUGUUUGAAAUAGUUCCUUCUCUGCUUCACGAUUCUAGUGUCAACACUAUAAGUAGACUGGAGCUGUGUUACAUAUUUUAGCUACACAGACUAAUAAAAUACACAGGACCUUGAACUAAACUUAUGUGCAAAGGCCAUAUUAGUCACGUUUCGUGUCUUUGAACAUGUAUGGUGUUGUGAAACGAAUAUUCUUCUACACUAGAAAAAUCCGGUGCUUCAACCUUAGAAUAUUUGAGCAGCAAUUCAGUCUGUUCUUAGCCGUCAAACCUUUUGGCACAGCUCAUCAUCUGUUACUUUCUUGAGAAAAAUCGAUUUUGUUGUUUUACUUACAGCAUAUGUUCUGGUGAUUGAAAACCAAACAGUUAUGGAGGGUUGUAAUACAACAAUAGUAUGUUUACAAAGUGGUCUUUUGCUGCAAGGACUUCACUUAGCCAAAUUACUGCUCACUGCAACCCUCAGAGCUUCCCGCUUACUCUCUGACCCUUGCUAGGAGGGCGGGACCUUGAAGCACCUGUUAAUCUUCCCCCUCCUGCUUCCUGCACUUGUGAAAUUCAAUGCUUGCUAGGUGUUUGAAGAUUUUACCAUCCGUGGGCUGGGGCUUGUUGUGUUACCUGUAAAAUAAGUAUUAGUUUAUAAACAGUUUUUUUGGGCUAGUGGUACCCAGGCCCCUUUGCAAGAUUUAAUCUUGAUUAUCUCCUUUUAUGUUAGAGGAGAUAUAGUAUUUAGAACACUCUAAGAUAUGUUUUAUGUUCCUGAAGCUAUCUUGCUCAUGUUUAAGAUACUAAUUGUUUAAAUGUAAGUUUUCAAUAAACGUAUUUCUUUAGA